rnacentral:lncRNA from 1 species
GAACUCAGAUUUGUUUAAUAGCAGAUAUUGUAGUGGAUCAUCUGUUACAGGUAAAUAUACAGAAAAAGAACCUAAACCUGAAUAAGUUAUGAGAUAGCUUGAAAAAUACAACAAAUAGUUAACCACAUGAUUCUUUUUUUUUUCUUUUAAUGUGAAGAAUGGUUGGUCUGAAUCCUAUGGCUUUUAAUGUGAAGAAUGGUUGGAAUGAAUCCUAUGGUCUGAAUUCUAAUCAGUUACAAAGCCAAGGCAAAACUGCAAUUCUGAAAGGAAUUUUCAUAGUGAUCUCUUUGAUGUGCAUUUACAAACGCAUAAUUUAAGAAACCAAGUUGAGGCCUGGAUCUGAAUCUCAGAAUGCAGGACACACUUAAGAGGAAGGCCAAAGGGCAAUUUUUACAUUACAAAAAUUAGCUUGACCCUGAAGAAAAACUGCUUUUAUAAAAUUAAAUACGGAUUGAAGUCAUGUAUUAUGACCCCUUCCAUCUGUUCAGCCUACACACAUACUAUAGAUAUUCCGUAUUCAGAGUCUGUUUCCAUAUAUACUUUUCCGCGGGAAAGAAGAGAAAUAUGUUUAUUUCACCUUUUUGCUGAAUUAAUUCCUAUGGCAUUAUAUGGUGGAUCUUUGGAACGGCUGUGACCAGAAUCUGCCUGCUUUUGCUUUUCACUUAAGCACAGCUGACCAGCCUGUGCAGAAGCCAGCUUCCCAGAUAUGCAAGCACCUCGGGGCAGCUGACUUCUCCAAAGCAUAGGAAAUGCUCUCAUUUGGGGGCUCCGACUUCUACCAUAUAAUUAGCACUUUACUGGUGCAAGGCUGGUGCUGCUUCCCCUUUGAGUUCUGCCGCUGAGGCCCAUGGUUCCUUAGUGGGUGGAGGUGAAGCAGCUGGUUCGCCACUGGUCCAGCAAGCCAGGCUGCUCCUCUAAGCAUGGGCUUGAUAUACAGCCCAGUGUGAGACCCAGAAAAAUGAGAGCCUUCUCUCCUCAGUGAGAUAGAAUAUUUAAGUUUAGGCCUUUGCUUUAAAAUUUGGAACUGGUGUUCCCUGGUGGCUCAGCAAGGAACCACCCCUGUCACUGCUGUGGCUUGGGUUGCUAUUGCUAUGUUGUGGGUUCAGUCCCAGGCCUGGGAGCGUCACACAAUGCCAUGGGCAUGCCCACACCCCCAACAACAAAAAAAAUAUUUACUUUGCUAUAUGCCUGAAAUUAACAAACUUUGUAAGUCGACUAUAUUUCAGUAAAAUUAAAAAAAAAAAAGAAAAAAAGAUUUGGGGCUCUAUUUUGCCCUUCAGAGCUGUAUGUAUCAAUUCCCCAAAGCAAUUUUUCUUGGAUGCAUUUUGCCUUGAAUUUGAAAUAUGCCUUUGAUGCUUUUUAUUUAAUAAGACACAGGCACAGGACUACAUUCAUUAUUUAGACUAGAGGUUCUUUUGCACUUGAUGUAAGAAAAAAAACUGGCAGGCAUGUUCAGGGUAAUUGCAUGGAGUGAAGUGUACCCAAUUUAUAGAAAGCUUAUUGAAGGAAUACAAAACUUCCAAAGUAAGCCCGAGAAAUCAUUCAUUCAUAACUGAUUGACAUUUGCCCUGAUCUGGAUCCUGUGCUUUGCUAGCUUUUAAGGCAAAGCAAAGACACAAUUAUUUAAAAGUGAUGUGAAAAACAGUUCUGAAAGAAAGCAAUCCUCGAGGGUGCAUAUAUUUUAUUUUUUUGUCUUUUUAGGACCGCACCUGAGGCAUAUGGAGGUUCCCAGGCUAGGGGUCUAAUUGGAGCUGUAGCCUACACCACAGCCACAGCAAUGCCAGAUCCUUAACCUACUGAGCAAGGCCAGGGAUUGAACCUGUGUCCUCAUGGAUGCUAGUCAGAUUCAUUUCUGCUGAGCCACGAUGGGAACCCCUGGAUAUAUUUUAAGUGAUGAUUCUCUCUUAAGUAAUGUGAUUCACAGACCACGGAGUUAGGCCCCAGGAAUCAUCUCUCACCCUAAUGUUUCCACCUGGCAACCCUCAAUAUUCUCGCAUUAAAAGAUAAAUAAAUGCAAUGUAAAUAAUGUCAACCGCUCAUAAAAGAAUAAUUAUCUCUUAUUCUUUUGUAGACUUCUAUUUCAUUAAGAAUUUUGCUAUGCACCAAAUGGGUGCAGUUAGGCUUAAAGUCUAAUUUUGGGAACCUAGCUCCUUUGAGACUAUUUAUUUCUUUUACAUUUCUAGUUAACGUCUAUAAAUCCAUCUGAUACUAAAAAAAAAAAAAAUCUGAUGUGAAGAAAUUGUAACUCUAAAUCCUUUUUCUACAUAAAAAGUCUAAAAUUUAUGAAGAGGUAAAUGCAACAUUUAUAUCAGUUAACUCUUCUCUAGACCUAAUGGCAGAAACAUUCCAGGCAAUCAAAAAGCACGUAGGAAAAACCAGCUUUAAUUGAUUCCUCAGAGAAUGCUUUUCUAGAUUAUAAAUAAAUUCUUAUAUUCUCUAUUUGUCUAUUUCAGGAAAUACACAAAUGAAAUCCAGGAUAUGGGGAAAUGAAACGCUAAUAAGAAGUAGGAGGAUAUUAAAAUAUCCCUACUUUGCAUAUAUGGGGCAAAGGCAGUCUACCCUAUCAGGGGAAUAAAAGCAAAUGUGAAUGAGAAUUCUUUCUUUCUUGCUUCUUUUUUUGGGGCUGCACCCAUGGCACAUGGAAGUUCCCAGGCUAGGAGUCAAAUCGGAGCUGCAGCUGCCAGUCUAUGCCACAACCACAGCAACACGGGAUCUGAGCCGUGUCUGCGACCUACACCACAGCUCGUGGUAACGCCAGAUCCUUAACCCACUGAGUGAGGCCAGGGAUCCAACCCGUAUCCUCAUGGAUGCUCGUUGGGUUCGUUACACUGAGCCAUGAUGGGAACCCCGGCAAAGGUACAGGCUUCAUUUGGCCUGGAGAGAGGCACUGGGCGAGACAUUUUGCGACAGUAUCUGGAGGGGUGUGGGUGUUGCUCCCAGGUAGGAACAUUGUACAGAACCCCAUCCAGAGUGACCAUGUGGGGGUCAGGUGGAGAGACACCCGUUGACAAAGCCUCUCCUGGCUGCACGGUCUUCCGCGCAGCCUUGUAGACUGUGAUACCAUGUAGUCAUCCACACAGCAAUCAGCAUUUUCUAUCUUUAGAAGAAAUGAUGGCAUUUGCCACCGGCGAGUGUGAUCUGUGUAUUCAUGGAACAGCUUGACUCUUUUAUAAUAGACCUGAAGAUGCAGUCCUGGGGGUCUACUGUGUUGUCAUUCCUUUAAUUAAUUUUCUAUCUGAAGACUUGCCAGCUUUGUGAUUAUGCUCUCAUGUACACGGUCAUAAGAAGUCCACUUCACAGCAAAAUGUUCUUUAGUAUCCCUUUUGAUAUAUAUUUUCAUCCAUAUGUAACUUAGGGAUAAAAAAGUUCAAGGAAUAUGAAAAAACACAAUAAAUGGAAGGAUUCAAUACUUCAAAAGCCACUCAUUUACCUUGUUCUUCAAAUUUUUUUAAGGUUUAGAAAAUUUACUAGUAUUCCAAAACAUUUUCAGAAUUCUUAUAAAUCCUCUUUCAGAAUGUCCGCCUCAACUGGAGUGAGAUCAUAUGCCUCUACUGUGAGGGCACAGUAGGAACUCAAUAAAUGCUUGUUUCAAGAAUGAAUGGCUAUAAAGAGAUACUUAUGUUUCUCUUUCCACCAUAAGAGGUAAAAUCUAUAAGUAGUGUUAUCUCUGCUCGUGGCAUUUAUAUAACAAAACUAAGUUCAGUAUAAGAAUUGGUUUAAAGUCCUACUAUAAGAAUGAGAAAUUUAAAAGUGGAAUGAAAAGUCUAGGGUCUGUCCAUGAAUUACUAAAUAUAACAUGCUUGACC